CAAGCUUCUUAAUCUGAAAAUCAAUAAUCUGUCCUACUAAGAAUCUGAUCUGACUGUCAAGAUUUCGUAUCUCUCUCUAUUUUAUGUAUCUUCUCAUUUCGCAAAAAUCAAAUGGCAUCAUUGGCAACCAAUUUUACCGCCUUUUCUCUUCCUGUUCCCAGCUGGCCUUCGCCUUCUCCUUUGUUAAUCUUUUCUUGAUCUCAAAAACCCUUCUCUUUUUUAAUCUAAACUUUGGUAUUUCUCCGACCAAAGACAUAGAAUCUUGAUUUUUAUUUCCUAAUUAUCUCCCUCCCCAUUGGCUCCUCUAGCGAGUUAUUCUUUUUCUUGACAUUGUCACCCCGCUCGCCUUUCAAAUUCUCUUUCUUUAUGCAGUCGGCUUCGGUUUUUCCAUUUCUGGGUACUCAUUAUUAUCAUUGUUAUGUGAAACUUGCGACGCUUUUAUCCUUAACGAGGCUUAUGCUUCUCAUUUUGUGGGAAUUUCGUUUCUUGUGGAGUAUUCUGUGGUUGGAAAAAGAAUUGUAGCCCCCCUUGGUGGGGAGGCUUGUAAUUUGUUAGGCGAAUUGACUCUUAUUUGCGCUUCUGCUUGUUUGGUUUUGUCUAUUAGGCCAACUGCAUUUUUUGCCGAGUAUUUAUUGUCUUGUGGGUUGAUUUUUAAAAGAACUUGGUUGUUACAAUCUGGGUUCUCUUUGUACACAGUUACAUUACUGCUAAAAAUCUAGAUUAAUUAGGAAAUCUUCAUUUUUAUUUCUUAAUUAUCUCCCUCCCCAUUGCCUCCCUUAGCAAGUUAUUCUUUUUCUUGACAUUCUCAGGCUGCCGCGCUUUCAAAUUCUCUUUUUUUAUGCAAAUCAGCUUCACUUUUUCCUCCUCUGAGUACUCAUUAUUAUCACUGUCUUUCGUGAAACUUGCGAUGCUUUUAUCGUUAACUCGAGUUAUUCUUUUCUUUUUUGUGGGAAUUUCUUUUCUUGUGGAAUAUUCUGUGGUUGGGAAAGGGAUUGUAGCUCCCCUUGGUGGGGAGGCUUAUAAUUUGUUAGGCCAAUUGACUCUUAUUUGUGCUGCUGCUUGUUUGGUUUUGUUUAUGAGGCCAACUGCAUUCUUUGCCGAGUAUUUCUUGUCUUGUGGGUUGAUUUUUUAAGGCACUUGGUUGUUACAAACUGAAUUCUCUUUGUACACAGAUACAUUUGCUUUCAAAGGUUGUCGAAAGAUUUCUCUAUCUACUGCUAAAGAUUUUAUUGAUAUUCAGGAGGAUGGUUUUAGGGGAGGCAAUGAUUAAUCUGUUGUUUGUUGCGCAUGCAAUUAUGGUGUUUAUUGGAAGCAUUGGGUUGUUCGGAUUGUUGUCAAGUCAUAAGAAUUUGAGGCAUGCAGAGGCAAGUGGCCCAUGGCUAGCGCAGCUUGAAUCCGAUAGCUCUUUGAUGCUUCCUGUUCCUGAAUUUGAGCUGGAAUGAGGUAUAUGUUAUGUUUCUUUUUUCCUUCUCACAUUUGUUUGUACAAAGAGUUCACUCAAUGUUCGUUAAUUAUUUUGUUCUAUCUUUACCUGUCUGAGUUUGUUUAUUUUUGUAGAUAGUAAGCAUUUACCAUUGUUUGAUGAUUAGAGUUGAUAAUGCUUAAGAUUACUUGUUAUGUUACUGAUUUUUUGAACUAACUGAGUUGCUCUCAUACAAUGUAUAUUUUUAUUUUUUUAUUAUUUUUUGAGGGAUGUUAUGAUUUUAGAAAUCUUAUAAAAAGUUAAGUGUGAGAUAUGCUGCAUGCUGAUGUUGGCAAUAAACAUCCCAGCUUUUUGCUUGAAUUAAUGCUUUGAGUACAAUCAUGGUGAAAGAUUUUCUUUUAAGAGUUCGUGUGUGUGCCUGUAAUUGAUUUACCUUUGUGAAACAGCCAAGGCGAGGAUGGCCAUAUCUCCCCAAGGCUUUGUUGUUCUUCCUAGUUUACAUUGUUAUCAUAUCCGAAACCACACCUUUUUUGUUUAACUUUAACUGUUUGGUUUAACCUAUCGCUACCAGGUCAAACAUCAAGGAAUUAUAAUUAGGGAACAGAAAACAAGGAGCUUUAAAGGCUCAAAUGACUGCAAUCUUUAGAUACUAUCGCUAUUAAAAAAGUGUCACUGAGAACACACUUGAUUGACUCUAGAAACUUAGUAAAUUUUGAUAUAACAACAGCACUUCUUUGGUGCAAAACCAGCAUUCUCUGUGACAUCCUUAUUCCUUGAGCUUUGAUGGCAACAUUGCAGUGGUCAGUAGCUUCUGAGUCAUUUGACGCUGUUAAUGUGAUUAAUAUUCUGGUGCAAUAUAAUUGCGAUACCAGUUGUUUGUAACUCACGAUUGCAUUUUCUCAUUUGAUGCCAAUUCAUAGGUAUAUAGUCUUAGUAGACAAUUAUUCUAUUGAUGAAUUAUCUUUCUUGCACGAGGUUGUUGUCUAUCAGAAAAGGCAGAUGUCUCUCUUGAAGUUUGAUUGUAAGUGGUGUGGCGAUUCGGAAGCAGGACAAUCAGAUUAGAAACUGAAGAUGCAAAGUAAGGGAAGGCAUUCAGUUCAUGGAUUUGGAGAAAUCUACUGGCGGUGGAUUAGUUCCCUGAUUUCAUGAAGGUCUGCAUUGCAUAUAAUAUUUGGAGAGAAAAUAUUGUUAAAUGUGAACUCAUCAAAUGAUGUUGAUACAGUCUAUACUCUGUUGCUGCUGUGCACAAUGUUUCAUAUGUUGAAAGAAAAGAUUAUACCAAAAGUGACAAAGCCUCCAUUCGUACUCAAAUCUUCGAUAGGUUCCCCUCUCAGUUCUGGUGGAGGAAUUGGUGACCAGCAGCAGGAAGGUGCUUUAGCCCAUUUCUCCGAGCUACCCAUAUCCAUAAGUUCCUGCACAUGGUAAUUAAGCCUUUCCAAGGAACAGAAAAAGCUUUUAAUUUCAGUGUUGAAGCUCUAUUAGUGCAAACCUGAAAGAAUGCUGUAGCAAUAACCACUUCUGAAUGUUCUUUGAAACGAAUUGGAAAUACUGCCGUGAUUUUUUGUGGCUGCCAAAUUCAUAAAGUGCUCUUCUGUUUAGAGAA